UACGUAGGGGGCAAGCGUUGUCCGGAAUCAUUGGGCGUAAAGCGCGUGUAGGCGGUUCGGUAAGUCUGCUGUGAAAGUCCAGGGCUCAACCCUGGGAUGCCGGUGGAUACUGUCGGACUAGAGUACGGAAGAGGCGAGUGGAAUUCCCGGUGUAGCGGUGAAAUGCGCAGAUAUCGGGAGGAACACCAAUUGCGAAGGCAGCUCGCUGGGACGGUACUGACGCUGAGACGCGAAAGCGUGGGGAGCGAACAGG
rnacentral:rRNA from 1 species